CUCUCGGGUGACGAGCGGCGGACGGGUGAGUAAUGUCUGGGAAGCUGCCUGAUGGAGGGGGAUAACUACUGGAAACGGUAACUAAUACCGCAUAACGUCGCAAGACCAAAGUGGGGGACCUUCGGGCCUCAUGCCAUCAGAUGUGCCCAGAUGGGAUUAGCUAGUAGGUGGGGUAAUGGCUCACCUAGGCGACGAUCCCUAGCUGGUCUGAGAGGAUGACCAGGCACACUGGAACUGAGACACGGUCCAGACUCCUACGGGAGGCAGCAGUGGGGAAUAUUGCACAAUGGGCGCAAGCCUGAUGCAGCCAUGCGGCGUGGAUGAAGAAGGCCUUCGGGUUGUAAAGUACUUUCAGCGAGGAGGAAGGCGUUAAGGUUAAUAACCUUGGCGAUUGAGUUACUCGCAGAAGAAGCACCGGCUAACUCCGUGCCAGCAGCCGCGGUAAUACGUGAGGGUGCAAGCGUUAAUCGGAAUUACUGGGCGUGCAGCGCAGGCAGGCCGUCUGUCCAGUCGGAUGUGAAAUCCCCGGGCUUGACCUGGGAACUGCAUUGCAAACUGGUUAGCUAGAGUCUUGUAGAGGGGGGUAGAAUUCGGGUGUACCGGUGAUCUGCGUCGAUAACUGCAUGAACUACCGUGGUAUCUGAUCCUGUUUGCUCCCCAAGCGAUCGCACCUUACCGUCACUCGUUGUCCAGGGGGGAG
rnacentral:rRNA from 1 species